AACGAACGCUGGCGGCGUGGAUAAGACAUGCAAGUCGGACGCUGAUUGCCGGGUAGCAAUAUUCGGCGGUCGGAGUGGCGAAAGGGUGCGUAACACGUGGGCAAUCUGCCGUGAAGUCGGGGAUAACUUGCUGAAAGGCGAGCUAAUACCGGAUGUGGUUUUGGGAGGGCAUCUUUCUGGAACCAAAGUUGGGGACCGCAAGGCCUGACGCUUCAUGAUGAGCCCGCGGCCUAUCAGCUAGUUGGUGAGGUAAUGGCUCACCAAGGCAAAGACGGGUAGCUGGUCUGAGAGGACGACCAGCCACACUGGAACUGAGACACGGUCCAGACACCUACGGGUGGCAGCAGUCGAGAAUUUUUCACAAUGGGCGAAAGCCUGAUGGAGCGACGCCGCGUGGGGGAUGAAUGGCUUCGGCCCGUAAACCCCUGUCAUUUGCGAACAAACCUUUCCACCCAACACGUGGAGAGCUGGUUGUAGCGAAAGAGGAAGGGACGGCUAACU
rnacentral:rRNA from 1 species